rnacentral:ncRNA from 2 species
AUACAGCACUAGGGGUGCCUUAACUGGCUGAGAGACCAAUACGUCGAUGAUAUGGACGAUGGCGGUUAACCCUUUACACCCGAUCUAGAUCAUACUAGCGUGGGGAAGUGCGGGGAUAUGAAA